GCCUUCGUGGUGCAGAGGUUAAGCACACUCGGCGCAUAUUCGAGAGUACCGUGGUUCAAGUCCCGGCGAGAGCA
rnacentral:tRNA from 1 species